UCCAAAUAUAUUAUAAAGACGGUGUUACCGUCUUUAGAAUAUAUGUGGAGA
rnacentral:pre_miRNA from 1 species